ACGGAAGGCAGCAGUGGGGAAUAUUGCACAAUGGGCGAAAGCCUGAUGCAGCGACGCCGCGUGAGUGAAGAAGUAUCUCGGUAUGUAAAGCUCUAUCAGCAGGGAAGAAAAUGACGGUACCUGACUAAGAAGCCCCGGCUAACUACGUGCCAGCAGCCGCGGUAAUACGUAGGGGGCAAGCGUUAUCCGGAUUUACUGGGUGUAAAGGGAGCGUAGACGGUUUGGCAAGUCUGAAGUGAAAUGCGGGGGCUCAACUCCUGAACUGCUUUGGAAACUGUCGAACUAGAGUGCAGGAGAGGUAAGUGGAAUUCCUAGUGUAGCGGUGAAAUGCGUAGAUAUUAGGAGGAACACCAGUGGCGAAGGCGGCUUACUGGACUGUAACUGACGUUGAGGCUCAAAAGCGUGGGGAGCAAACAGGAUUAGAUACCCUGGUA
rnacentral:rRNA from 2 species